CAUUUACAUUUUUGCGAGGGAUUUGAUUAUCAGUUGGUUACCCUGUUGUUUUGAUCGGGAUUAUCACGCUCUUUUUCAAAAUAGUAUUUUUCCCGCUAGUCUGACAUUGUCCAAAGGCUGCUUCUGCCUGUCUGCCUGAGGUCUGUGGGGCAUUGCAGGACAAGGUGUAGACUCGGCGACGACAAGACCUCGGUGCAAAAUGGACGCGGUACAAUAGUUUGGUUUCCAUUUCAAGACACAUCUAGGAUGGAUAUCGGUCGGUCAGAGCUCGGGACAGGUCACGGUGACAUCACGGAACAAGCAAACCCGCAGAUGGAAUCCGAUUCCUUGAACCGUAGCCCGCACGGCGAAAGCACAUGUACAAGUCCAACACCAAUGGCAUCUAAUGAGGAUCAGGAAAGCUUUCCGGAGUUUCACGUACACGCUACAAACUACACCAAAGGACAACUGAAAAUGAAAUUGAAAAGCAAUAAGAAAUCUGGUCUGAUGGAAACCCAACAUAAACCGGAUAGGGUGGACACAUUAUCUGGAGGCCAAUUUGAGCAGGCUACCGACACACAGAUGG